CUCUCUCUCACUCUCACUCUUAUUCUUGAAAGUUUUUUAUGCAUGCUUUUUUAUUCGAUGUUCUGCUGAAAAAAAUAAAAACAUGUCACAGCUACCGUCACAGAAAGUUUUUUGUUUGGUCUGUUUGCAAAAAAGUUUCCUUUAUGAAGAUAAAAUGAAAUUAAACACACGUACACGCGCCCACGCGCGCGCACACACGCCCAUACACACACAGCAGCACCCAGGUAAUUCAGGCAUCUUCAACAUCUCCCUUCAGUUGCUGAAGCAACGGCAGCUCUGAGUCAUUGAUGCAUAAUGGCCACCUGGUGUGUGGUCAGCUUUCAAUCACACGCACGUGGGGGUGGGUAGGGGUGGUAAGUUAUCACCACCUACCUGUGGCGUGGACACCUGCAGCACCUGGCCAUUUUACCUCUGGACCAAGCAAGUGCCCUUUUGAAAGAAAGUUUUAUUUAUUUAUUUAUGUAUUUUUUUUAUUUUUACAUUUUUUCAGUUAAUUCGAUCAAAAGCAUGUGUUAAUAAUAAUAAUGCUCUAAAAUUCAGCGUUUAAACAAAUCGCUGAAUACCACUGCGGUCCCUGUAGUACAUAUACCAAACCUGUAUAUAGCGCUGUCUCAACCACGCCCUAACACACUAACAUCGGAAGUGUUAGUAGCGGAAAAGAGGCAAAACAUUUCGUGAAAUGUUUGGAAACAGUGUGGCGUGUGAAGUCAGACACUGAAGAAGUCCACCGCUGGUUUUAAAGCUCAAGUGUACAGCGUUGUUCCUCUCUGACAGCUCGACCUGGUCCGGAUAAAUGACUGAGAGAUUGAGAGAUCCUCGCCUCUCUGUCAUCUACAGUCCAGAUGGGUCUUCCCCUCCCCUCGGCCAGUCUGGAUUCUAUGACCUUCCCAGAGGAACAUUCCAUCUGCUCCAGUCCAGACUACUGGUGCUGGUCGCUGGGUACAGCUGUCCAGACACUGACAGAGGCUGUGGCUCUGACGACUCAGACGGAGUUACAGGGUGGCUCAUGAAUGAGGAAACAC